AUUAGUUAGUUGGUGAGUAAAGGCUCACCAAGACCGUGAUGCAUAGCCGACCUCGAGAGGGUAAUCGGCCACACUGGGACUGAGACACGGCCCAGACUCCUACGGGAGGCAGCAGUAGGGAAUCUUCCACAAUGGACGAAAGUCUGAUGGAGCAACGCCGCGUGAGUGAAGAAGGUUUUCGGAUCGUAAAACUCUGUUGUUGGAGAAGAAUGUAUCUGAUAGUAACUGAUCAGGUAGUGACGGUAUCCAACCAGAAAGCCACGGCUAACUACGUG
rnacentral:rRNA from 1 species